UCUUUCUUAGUUUAAGUUUUAAAAUUAUUAAUUGUGGUUUAAUAGAUAAAUGAAGGU
rnacentral:tRNA from 1 species